GGACGAACGCUGGCGGCGUGCUUAACACAUGCAAGUCGAACGAGAGGACAAGAGAAGCUUGCUUCUUUUGGAAUCGAGUGGCAAAUGGGUGAGUAACACGUAAACAACCUGCCUUCAGGAUGGGGACAACAGACGGAAACGACUGCUAAUACCGAAUACGCUUGGGAGACCGCAUGAUCUUCCAAGGAAAGGGUGGCCUCUACUUGUAAGCUAUCGCCUGAAGAGGGGUUUGCGUCUGAUUAGGCAGUUGGUGAGGUAACGGCCCACCAAACCUACGAUCAGUAGCCGGUCUGAGAGGAUGAACGGCCACACUGGAACUGAGACACGGUCCAGACUCCUACGGGAGGCAGCAGUGGGGAAUCUUCCGCAAUGGGCGAAAGCCUGACGGAGCAACGCCGCGUGAGUGAUGAAGUAUUUCGGUAUGUAAAACUCUAUCAGCAGGGAAGAUAAUGACGGUACCUGACUAAGAAGCACCGGCUAAAUACGUG
rnacentral:rRNA from 1 species